CCUACGGGAGGCUGCAGUAGGGAAUAUUGGACAAUGGGUGCAAGCCUGAUCCAGCCAUGCCGCGUGCAGGAAGAAGGCCUUCUGGGUUGUAAACUGCUUUUGCCAGGGGAUAAAAAGCCCAUGCGUGGGAAAUUGAAGGUACCUGGUGAAUAAGCCACGGCUAACUACGUGCCAGCAGCCGCGGUAAUACGUAGGUGGCAAGCGUUGUCCGGAUUUAUUGGGUUUAAAGGGUGCGUAGGUGGUCUUUUAAGUCAGUGCUGAAAUAUCCCGGCUUAACCGGGAGGGUGGCAUUGAUACUGAAGGACUUGAGUAAAGUUGAGGUAGGCGGAAUUGACGGUGUAGCGGUGAAAUGCUUAGAUAUCGUCAAGAACACCUAUUGCGAAGGCAGCUUACUAAGCUUUAACUGACACUGAGGCACGAAAGUGUGGGGAUCAAACAGG
rnacentral:rRNA from 1 species